UACGAAGGGGGCUAGCGUUGCUCGGAAUGACUGGGCGUAAAGGGCGCGUAGGCGGAUUGUACAGUCAGGCGUGAAAUUCCCGGGCUCAACCUGGGGGCUGCGCUUGAGACGUGCGAUCUUGAGUGGGGAAGAGGGUCGUGGAAUUCCCAGUGUAGAGGUGAAAUUCGUAGAUAUUCGCAAGAACACCAAUGGCGAAGGCAGCUCGCUGGGACGGUACUGACGCUGAGACGCGAAAGCGUGGGGAGCAAACAGG
rnacentral:rRNA from 1 species